rnacentral:tRNA from 1 species
UGGCUCAGUUGGUAGAGCAUGGUGUUUGCCCACGCCAGGGUUGUGGGUUCGAUUCCCAC